GACGAACGCUGGCGGCGUGCUUAACACAUGCAAGUCGAGCGGUAAGGCCCUUUCGGGGGUACACGAGCGGCGAACGGGUGAGUAACACGUGGGUGACCUGCCCUCAGCUCUGGGAUAAGCCUGGGAAACCGGGUCUAAUACUGGAUAUGACUCCAUGACGCAUGUUGUGGGGUGGAAAGCCUUGUGCGGCUGAGGAUGGGCCCGCGGCCUAUCAGCUUGUUGGUGGGGUGAGGCCUACCAAGGCGACGACGGGUAGCCGGCCUGAGAGGGCGACCGGCCACACUGGGACUGAGACACGGCCCAGACUCCUACGGGAGGCAGCAGUGGGGAAUCUUGCGCAAUGGGCGAAAAGCCUGACGCAGCGACGCCGCGUGAGGGAUGACGGCCUGG
rnacentral:rRNA from 1 species